AGAUCCCUUACUGGAGGCCAAUGAUGGGGAACAACUCCGCCCUUUUGAUAAGUGGUAUAUCGCCCCCUGCUGUAACAAGUCUGAAUUGACCUCUUCACUGAAUUCGCUAACACUCCAUCGUCAUCAUAAUUGAUCACAUAUGAUAUAUCCCUGUUACAGAGCCCUUACUGCAGACUAACCUUAAACAGAUUCCUCCUCUGGAGACUGAGGAGGUGAAGACACAGAGCAGGUCAUGUCCUUCCAGCUGGACCAGAUAUGGAUCCCUCUGCUUUAUGUUUGUCAGUACGCAGAGGACAUGGCUUGAGGCAGAGUCCCCCUAUAGUGAUACUGCGUGCACUUUGGGGCAAACCUUGCGUCUGUACACAGUUCAGCAGAGCAUCACUUUGUGCAAGAGUUGGUGAGACGACAUACGAAUUAUUUAACCUAUCCUUGGAUCGUAGGAUUUGACCAUGUUCAGAACCGGGUGGCUUUGGAGUGACGGGUCAAGAUUGGAUUACGCUUGCUGGCACACAGGAGAACACAACAAUUACAAUGGCAAGAGGGAGCCUUGUAUGAUGAUGAACUCUGGAGGUACAGUAAACCUACUGUCAUUUCAGCCUAAUCACUCACGUCACCUUAAAAAUCUAUCAAUUUCAAUUGGAGAUGUGAUUUUUUAUCCUUGUUUCCCCUAUAGCUGAGAAACGCUGGAAAGAUGAAAUAUGUAGAAACAAAUAUUAUUUUGUGGUGUUAAAAUAAUCUAUUAAUAAAUCCUGAGAAACUUC